UACCCAGCAUGCCCCGUGUGUGUUUGUAAAAUCCCUAAAGAGGAUUUAUGUGGAUCAGAGAGACGACAUGCCGCUGAAGAGAGAAGAUACUGAACGUGCUCUGCAGGUGAUGGAGGCCUGUCAGGCCGGAGCUGAAGAAGGGGUCAAAGGUCGCGCCGAGAAACUGCUCAACAUCUUCCAGAGUGACCUGUUCCAGGCCCUGCUGGACAUACAGGAGUUCUACGAGCUGACAGUGUGUGAGAACCAGACGACGAGCCGACCACACACACCUGGACAG